UAUAUACUCACUUUGUCUGAAAAUACUUGUCGGAGGAAUGGAUGUAUCUAGAUGUAUUUUAUUUGUAGAUACAUUCAUUUUUGUCUAUUUCUCUGACAACUAUUUCCGGGCGGGGGAGUAUAUA
rnacentral:pre_miRNA from 2 species